CCUACGGGAGGCAGCAGUGAGGAAUAUUGGACAAUGGGCGCAAGCCUGAUCCAGCCAUGCCGCGUGCAGGAAGAAGCAUCUAUGGUGUGUAAACUGCUUUUGUACAGGAAGAAACACUCCCUCGUGAGGGAGCUUGACGGUACUGUAAGAAUAAGGACCGGCUAACUCCGUGCCAGCAGCCGCGGUAAUACGGAGGGUCCGAGCGUUAUCCGGAAUCAUUGGGUUUAAAGGGUCCGUAGGCGGUUUAAUAAGUCAGUGGUGAAAUCUGGUCGCUCAACGAUCAAACGGCCAUUGAUACUGUUAGACUUGAAUUAUAAGGAAGUAACUAGAAUAUGUAGUGUAGCGGUGAAAUGCUUAGAUAUUACAUGGAAUACCAAUUGCGAAGGCAGGUUACUACUUAUGGAUUGACGCUGAUGGACGAAAGCGUGGGGAGCGAACAGGAUUAGAUACCCUGGUAGUCCACGCCGUAAACGAUGGAUACUAGCUGUUCGGAGCAAUCUGAGUGGCUAAGCGAAAGUGAUAAGUAUCCACCUGGGGAAGUACGUUCGCAAGAAUUGAAACUCAAAAUUGAAUUGACGG
rnacentral:rRNA from 1 species